GUUGGUUCUCCAACAAAUGUUAAGGUCACACCAACUCAGGGACAGGUAAGCUUCGUACGGUUGAACCUCAUUGCCUAACAAAGGUGAUUUGCAGCAUUAACUGCAUAUUGGCUUCCCCUAAGAUCAAGAAGAAGUUAGUUUCAAAAAAACAAGGAAAUGUCAAUGCAGACCGUUUAGUUUCCCGCAAAUAGUGAAUUUUGGUGAUUGUGUAGAGGUGUGGACCAUGCAUCAUUGAUUAAUUUUUCCAAUUAAUCAAACAUUGUUUACUUUGCUCGCACAUUUAAACCUGCUUUUGUGCUUGUGUCGACAAUCAGGAUGAUAUUUGGACGCUUGUGUUAACCUGCUUUUACAAUAAGUUUUUUUCUAUCCUAGUAUUUUUUUAAAUUUUUAUUGCUCUUUUUAUUAAAGUACAUGCAAUAUAAU